rnacentral:lncRNA from 1 species
CCUUACCAAGGUUAGAACGAGACUACGGUUGCAAUCUUCUCUAUACAUCACUCACAUCGAGAAACAUUCUUUGUAGCCUAAAGGGAUAGUAGCAAUAGAUUUGGUUAGUCAGAUGUACCCUUUCUCCCAGUGGUAAAAAUAUAAAUACGAUAACUCUGGAUAACCUCCCGGGUGAAAUGCUCACCGAUAUCCGUGCGCUUGCGGAUCAUUUCCUUAUUGCGUUACCAAAUAUCAACACCAGACACGACUAGGACUCGAAUUCUAAAUUAAACAGAAUCCGUGUACAAAGUAAACUCUAAUAACUAUGGAAAGCAUUAAAUCAUCUUGCACAACCGAACGGUACACCACCAUGAGUCGAUCGACAACCCCAGCGCCCUUCUCCAUGACCAUCGGCAAACCACCUCUCAUAGCCAUCGGCAACCAUCAGCACCAGUCAUCGGCACGAAUCCAUCACCACUCCUAGACUUGGCCAUAUCCUGUCAUUUUCUCAUCGGCACCAACCCUCAUCGGCGACUCUUCUGUAGAUUAGUCACCACUUUUCUGCGUGCCGAUCUACACCUUAUUAACUCCAGAUACACCCCCAAAGAUACGUGUCCAAAAACGGUGUUGUUGGGCAUUCUUAACGUCACUACCAAAAGUAGACUUAGUUUUCUAAUUCUGAUAACGGCGCCAAAAAUGCCAAACCUAUCUCUCGUGCCACUUAAGCCAAGUUGUCAUCCCCAGCAUGACAUGAGAGACGCGGUAUUGAAAUAUGCAAUUGCUCUUCUGAAUAAAUAAUAAAUGAGAUCUGCAAGCACACAGAUUAAUACUGAUGUAGCAUUUUAACCGGGAAGUAUUCUAGGUAUCGUUACUUAUAUUUUUACCACUGGGAAGGGAUUGCUAAACAUCAAUGUUGAUUAUGGAAUGGAAUAUAGAAUUGAGUAUCUAUCAUUGCAUGUAUAAUUGAGAGCAUUUACCUAUCUCUUUCAUACAGGGAUAAGUGUCACAUAAAAGAUAGAUAAAGUAUGAAUGGUGACAAAGAUAAUUAAUCUGAUCAGCAUAACUUAGCCACUUAUAAAUAUGAUAAGCACCUCAAUAGAUAUUCUAGCAAGUCAUUAGCAUAGAAUUAGGACGAACUACAAGAAUAUUUCCUAAGUUAUUCUCAACUAUACAGUCUAGCAUAUCAUAGUUAGUGCAAUUAUACUUGGCAAUCAUUGCGAGACAGGAUUACGCCCAUGCAUAGUGAUAUUAUCAAGGUAAAUGAGAAACAUAGCAAUCACUCCCCUAUAAUAAUGUUGCUCUGCCAGCCCUAUAUACGAGAGGGGGACUAUAUAAGAAUCAAUGGAGCUGUCACUACCACGAACUACCCUGCGAUCUGGCAUAUAGGGUACAAUCGCACAUAAAUACAGUAUAGGCACCACGCCUACACAAUACUUAUCAUUUACCCACUGUACACAUGGAUAAAUGCUAUACGAUCCUAAACAUGUAUAUAAUUCCAAUCUAACUAAGCCAAGCAUAUAACUAUGAUAAACUAAGAACAAUAUAAUUGCAAAUGUAAACAAGUAGAGCAAAGUCAUAAUCAAUAUAUUGAAGUAGAACAAAGUCGUAUUCAUAAUAUUGAAGAACAAAGAUGAACAAUUGAAGAACAAUAGAGGAAUUACCAAGAAUCCUCUUGACAGAUCCGGAAACCAAUUGAAGAUUGACUCCUUCUAGUUCUAAUCCUAUGUCGCUAUGCUAAACUAGAGAUCUAAUUGAUGUGGUGGCUCUAGGGGCUUGAUCAGAGGCUUCUUCUCCCAAGAUGGAUAAUGAAUUAGGGUUCAGAGGUCCUCUCCUCCAGGGGCCAGGGGUCUGCUUAUAUAGUCCUUCCAAGUUAAUGUGGACCGUUGGAUCAAACUGACAUUAAUCGCACGGUUUUCCUUGAUCCUUUAGGUCGGUGGAGCAUGAUCCGCGAAGUUGAAGCUGAUUGGCCCCGAGGCCAGGGCGGCCGCCCAAGGGGGGAGGGCGGGCGCCCUACCACAGAGCCCGUCCGGUCUCCCGUUCAUUCUCGUGGCUUCUGGACUCUUCUAGAUGUUAGAUAAUUGCACGGCACAUUAAUAUCUCUAUGUAAACCCAACGUGUGGGCGUUUCCUCCAUAUUUCCUGAUAACCCCCUACAGAAAUAGAUAAACACCAAAACUUAUGGAAUUCUGUCAAAUAAAACCCUAAUUCUAGGUGUUGGUUGCAUUUGGAUCCUUUUCUUUACUUAUUUGAUGAUUAAAUUUGAUACUUAAGGACCGUCAACAAACUCCCCCAAGCUAACCUCUUGCUCGUCCCUAAGCAAGGAUAGACUCAGUGAUGGAUGAAAAGUUGCUGAAAUGCUUUUAAAAGUUGACGGUACACAUGCUUUCAAAUAAGGUCUCAUCUGUGAGUUAGAGUAAACUGUCAAGACUUAAAACUUACUUUACCUUUUACCAUGGGACUUGUAACCGUCACUUCUGUCUUGAGCAGUUAAAAGAUAGAACGGUCUAGUCAAGUGCCAUGUCUCUUAUUCUUGAUCAGCUAUAGCUCUGGAGUUUUUGCAGAUUUUCAAACAAAAAUCAGAGAUUCCUUGUAUGACUCUCUCAGAUCUCUCUUUUGUGGUAUUUCUGCAUCCUUACCAAGGCAGUGAUGGUAUAUGCCUUCUCUCAAAAUAUGUGAUAUUUGUGGUAUAAAGCAUAGUGACAUUGCCUUCUCUCUCACCCUACUCUAAUAAGGCUUUAAUAUCUAGAGCUCAUAGGUGGGAGAUAAAGUAUACAUACUUACAAGACAUUUAUUGCAUAGUCAAACCAUGGAUCCAAAGAAACAAGUCAAUAAGUCAAAUCAAGAUGUGCAUGUGUGGCGAAUGAAUGGUGUAUGGUGAUGAUGGUGAUAACAAUGGUGAAAGUUUAAUUCUACUUGUGCUCUUUUAAGGGGAUACAUAGCAUUCUUGCCCCUUUUUUGAAACUUUGAGGAGAAUGAGAUGCUCUAUAUUUUUUUUCUUUCCUCUCAGGUGGGUAUCGUGUACCCCUUAUUCUACUGUCGGACACUUGUCCAUUUUUACCUCUCGUCUCACUUUUUCUUUCUUUUGAGGUUCCGGGUACUUGCCCCUUUUUAUGUCCUCGUAUCUUUUUCUUUUUUCUCUUUUUUUAGAGCACUCAUCUCCUGAAAAUAAUAUAGCAAGUGGUAGCAAUCAAGAUAACUUGAGCAUUUAUUUCACAGGGGAAAAACAUAAAUGUUUUUGGCUAUUCUCUCUCAGAUUAGGAGUAGAAUAUUUUUGGGUGGUUCUGGAGAUGGAAAUGAGUGGAUAUAUGUGGAUGCGUACUUCCGGAGUAGAAGUAGCAUGUAUGAGUGAACGUGCAAGUGAAUCUUAAUUUAACCACAUGACAAGCUCCUAAGGGUCUACACAGCUUGACCACACUCAAUGUUCAUAAGCAGUAAAAAGUAAAUGUGUGGCUCAAAGUCUAACAAGCAUGUAUAUAUGGCUGUGGUAGGAAUUUAAACUCUCAUCAUACAGGAACUCAUCAUGUGAUAUUUUAAAGAUUUUCAAAGCUAAAAUUCUCCAGAAUUCUAGCAUCUCUAGGAACAGAUAAACAGCAGCUCAACCUUCCCAUAUCAUAUCUGUUAACAACUUAGACCUUUAGAUCAAGUUCUCUUCCCACAAGUUCAGGUUUAGAGCAAGCUUUAAAUUAUAACAGUUAUGUCUAAACUAGAGAGAACUCAAAUUUGAAAAUUAGGCAGAGCAACUAUUCAUCAUAUGCAUGCUAGAGUUUUAUUAUUAAGAUUCAGUUCAGCAUAGCCACUUUAUUUAUUUAUUAAGCACACUAAGAAAAAGACAUAUAUUUAUAUAUAAGCACAAAAUCUUUAUUUGGUUUUUCAUGGUUAUGUAUAUUUAUAUUUUUAUAUAGUAUAAGUAUAUAGAUAGAAAUACUUAGCGGGAUAAAUGGGGGUGCUCUCUCCCAAGCUGGAUUUUGACGUACUUUCUUCUAAUGUAGCCAGCAGGUGGUAGAGGUGUAUUUGAAAGUCGACAGUACCCUAACAGCGAUUAGAAUGUCCUCCGUCUGCUAGUCUUCUUCAUCCUUAAAUUCUGUGGAGCUCAAAUAGACAACAUAGCUUUGUGGAACUGAUUAAGUGUUAGCAUAAAUAUCUAUCCUUUAUCAUGUUGAGCCUCCUCAAUAAAUAUUACUCUCUAUUUUUUUUAUAUUUUCAUUUUAUAGAGCAGAGAAAAUUAUUUAUUUUAAUUUUAUGCCACCACAGUGAAUGUACUUAUGGGUUUUAUACCACUCGUAUACUCACAUAGGGCUUACUAUUUUUUAACAUUUUUAUUUUCUUUUUAGGAUAGUAUGAACAUGAUUAACUAAACAAACCAUUUUAAAUAAUUUGAAAGGAAAAGGUAACUACCAAGUUUACCUCUUAGCAAGGCGUUCGGUGUUUUUAAGUCCUCCAAAUGGGACUCUCCAUUUUCUCAGUUGUCCUGGGAUUCGUUGGGUGGCGUAGUCGGUGCUUCCGGCGGCGCCUCCUCUUCAUGUAUAGUUAUCUUCUCUCUCCACACCUGACUUGGUGCUAUGGUCUCCUUAGGAUAGUUCUGUUCAAGCUGUAUGUCUCCAGACCUUACCACUUCUCCUUCAUAGUCUGCCCAUCCGUCCUUGAUGAUUUGCCUCUUCUGGUUACGGUUGCGUCGUCUUCUUCUUGUCCUGACCUGCUUAGAAUCUUCAACUAUAUAAUUAGGGUCAGUAAAAUAGCGGCGUACCUUCCCUGAGGGGAAGUGCAUGUGAACUUCUCCAGUUCCAAUGUAGAUGAUUGCUUUAACGGUGCUGAGGAAUGGUCUUCCAAGGAUGAUGGGUGGAUCGUACUCAUCUUCUCUCAUGUCAAUAACCUAAAAGUCUAUAUGGACAAAAUGAUCGUCUAUUUUGACAGGGACAUUAGUUACUAUAUCUUCAACCUUUCGGAAUGUCCCAUCUGGAGCUGAAUGUAUGUCGGUUUUAAGGGCAUGGUUCCGAACAGGAGCCGAUAGGUGACUGCGUCCAUUAUGUUGAUGCCCGAUCUGGUGUCGCAAAGUGUCUUGUAGAAGUUGUAUCCAUUAACGGAGCAGUGGAUGCUUGGCAUACCUGGGUCGUCCUUCUUGGUCAGAAACGGUGACUUAAGUUGAUGAUCUUGACCUCCAUGAACUACAG